AUUGAACGCUGGCGGCAGGCCUAACACAUGCAAGUCGAGCGAGCGGCGGACGGGUGAGUAAUGUAUGGGGACUGCUCGAUAGAGGGGGAUAACUACUGGAAACGGUGGCUAAUACCGCAUACUAUCGGAUAACCCAUAUGGGAUUAGCUAGUAGGUGGGGUAAAGGCUCACCUAGGCGACGAUCUAUAGCUGGUUUGAGAGGAUGAUCGGCCACACUGGAAUUUGGACACGGCCCAAAAUCCUGCGGAGGCAGCGGUGGGGAAUAUUGCACAAUGGGCGCAAGCCUGAUGCAGCCAUGCCGCGUGUAUGAAGAAGGCCUUAGGGUUGUAAAGUACUUUCAGCGGGGAGGCGUUACCCGCAGAAGAAGCACCGGCUAACUCCGUGCCAGCAGCCGCGGUAAUUC
rnacentral:rRNA from 1 species